AUUGAACGCUGGCGGCAGGCCUAACACAUGCAAGUCGAGCGAGCGGCGGACGGGUGAGUAAUGUCUGGGCAACUGCCUGAUGGAGGGGGAUAACUACUGGAAACGGUAGCUAAUACCGCAUCCCCUCAGCUGUGCCCAGAUGGGAUUAGCUAGUAGGGGGGGUAAUGGCUCACCUAGGCGAAGAUCCGUAGCUGGUCUGAGAGGAUGACCAGGCACACUGGAACUGAGACACGGUCCAGACUCCUCCGGUAGGCAGCAGUGGGGAAUAUUGCACAAUGGGCGCAAGCCUGAUGCAGCCAUGCCGCGUGGAUGAAGAAGGCCUUCGGGUUGUAAAGUACUUUCAGCGGGGAGGCGUUACCCGCAGAAUAAGCACCGGCUAACUCCGUGCCAGCAGCCGCGGUAAUAC
rnacentral:rRNA from 1 species